rnacentral:rRNA from 1 species
UACGUAGGGUGCGAGCGUUGUCCGGAAUUAUUGGGCGUAAAGAGCUCGUAGGCGGUCCGCCGCGUCGAAUGUGAAAACCCGGGGCUCAACUCCGGGCUUGCAUUCGAUACUGGGGGACUAGAGUUCGGUAGGGGAGACUGGAAUUCCUGGUGUAGCGGUGAAAUGCGCAGAUAUCAGGAGGAACACCGGUGGCGAAGGCGGGUCUCUGGGCCGUAACUGACGCUGAGGAGCGAAAGCAUGGGGAGCGAACAGG